AAUGGGUCAGCGACUUAUAUUCUGUAGCAAGGUUAACCGAAUAGGGGAGCCGAAGGGAAACCGAGUCUUAACUGGGCGUUAAGUUGCAGGGUAUAGACCCGAAACCCGGUGAUCUAGCCAUGGGCAGGUUGAAGGUUGGGUAACACUAACUGGAGGACCGAACCGACUAAUGUUGAAAAAUUAGCGGAUGACUUGUGGCUGGGGGUGAAAGGCCAAUCAAACCGGGAGAUAGCUGGUUCUCCCCGAAAGCUAUUUAGGUAGCGCCUCGUGAAUUCAUCUCCGGGGGUAGAGCACUGUUUCGGCAAGGGGGUCAUCCCGACUUACCAACCCGAUGCAAACUGCGAAUACCGGAGAAUGUUAUCACGGGAGACACACGGCGGGUGCUAACGUCCGUCGUGAAGAGGGAAACAACCCAGACCGCCAGCUAAGGUCCCAAAGUCAUGGUUAAGUGGGAAACGAUGUGGGAAGGCCCAGACAGCCAGGAUGUUGGCUUAGAAGCAGCCAUCAUUUAAAGAAAGCGUAAUAGCUCACUGGUCGAGUCGGCCUGCGCGGAAGAUGUAACGGGGCUAAACCAUGCACCGAAGCUGCGGCAGCGACACUAUGUGUUGUUGGGUA
rnacentral:rRNA from 1 species